rnacentral:rRNA from 1 species
AGCAGCCGCGGUAAUUCCAGCUCCAAUAGCGUAUAUUAAAGUUGUUGCAGUUAAAAAGCUCGUAGUUGAAUUUCGGAAUCUGUCCAUUGGUCGGGCUUCACUGUCCGUACUGGUGUGGUGGGUUCUUACCUUCUGAAUAACCAGCAUGCCAUUCACUUGGUGCGUUGGGGAAGCAGGACUAUUACCUUGAAAAAUUAGAGUGCUCAAAGCAGGCUAGUGCCUGAAUACAUUAGCAUGGAAUAAUAAAAUAGGACGGCAUGGUUCUAUUUUGUUGGUUUCUAGGAUCACCGUAAUGAUUAAUAGGGAUAGUUGGGGGCAUUAGUAUUCAAUUGUCAGAGGUGAAAUUCUUGGAUUUAUUGAAGACUAACUUCUGCGAAAGCAUUUGCCAAGGAUGUUUUCAUUAAUCAAGAACGAAAGUUAGGGGAUCGAAGACGAUCAGAUACCGUCGUAGUCUUAACCAUAAACUAUGCCGACUAGGGAUCGGACGAUGUAAUUUUUAAUGACUCGUUC